rnacentral:rRNA from 1 species
UACGUAGGGUGCAAGCGUUAAUCGGAAUUACUGGGCGUAAAGCGUGCGCAGGCGGUUUUGUAAGACUGUCGUGAAAUCCCCGGGCUUAACCUGGGAAUGGCGAUGGUGACUGCAAGGCUAGAGUUUGGCAGAGGGGGGUAGAAUUCCACGUGUAGCAGCGAAAUGCGUAGAUAUGUGGAGGAACACCGAUGGCGAAGGCAGCCCCCUGGGUCAAAACUGACGCUCAUGCACGAAAGCGUGGGGAGCAAACAGG